rnacentral:rRNA from 1 species
GAUGAACGCUGGCGGCGUGCCUAAUACAUGCAAGUCGAGCGAACAGACGAGGAGCUUGCUCCUCUGACGUUAGCGGCGGACGGGUGAGUAACACGUGGAUAACCUACCUAUAAGACUGGGAUAACUUCGGGAAACCGGAGCUAAUACCGGAUAAUAUAUUGAACCGCAUGGUUCAAUAGUGAAAGACGGUUUUGCUGUCACUUAUAGAUGGAUCCGCGCCGCAUUAGCUAGUUGUUAAGGUAACGGCUUACCAAGUCGACGAUGCGUAGCCGACCUGAGAGGGUGAUAGGCCACGCUGGAACUGUGACACGCUCCAGACUCCUACGGGAGGCAGCAGUAGGGAAUCUUCCGCAAUGGGCGAAAGCCUGACGGAGCAACGCCGCGUGAGUGAUGAAGGACUUCGGAUCGUAAAACUCUGUUAUUAGGGAAGAACAAAUGUGUAAGUAACUAUGCACGUCUUGACGGUACCUAAUCAGAAAGCCACGGCUAACUACGUG